rnacentral:rRNA from 1 species
AGCGUGCGCAGGCGGUUUUGUAAGACUGUCCGUGAAAUCCCCCGGGCUCAACCUGGGAAUGGCGAUGGUGACUGCAAGGCUAGAGUUUGGCAGAGGGGGGUAGAAUUCCACGUGUAGCAGUGAAAUGCGUAGAUAUGUGGAGGAACACCGAUGGCGAAGGCAGCCCCCUGGGUCAAAACUGACGCUCAUGCACGAAAGCGUGGGGAGCAAACAGGAUUAGAUACCCGGGU